ACCUUUAUAAUUUAAAAAAGAAGAAUUUUGUGCUGAAGAUACAAAAGUGAUAGUAAUUGUCUGUGGGUA
rnacentral:tRNA from 1 species